rnacentral:rRNA from 1 species
GGGGCACGUGCAACCGGAUGAGAGUACUGUAUCUAUAAGGAUCGCCUCACUCCAUGCCAGCUGCCGCGGCAAUACUGAGGAUCCGAGCGUUAUCCGGUAAUUAUUGGGUUUAAAGGGUGCUCAGGCGGGUAUUAUCAGUCAGCUGUGAAAUUUUGCACCUCAACUGCAACAGUGCCUGUGAAACAGAUUAGCUAGGAUAUGGUCGCAGUGAGCGGAAUGAGUGGUGUAGCUGAUGAAAUAGCUUAGAUAUCACACAGAACACCAAUUGCUAAUGCAACACACUAAGUCAAUAUUGCCUCUGAAGCACGAAAGAGUGGAGAUCAAACAAGAUUACAUACCCUGGUAUUCCACACUGUAGACGAAUGAUAACUCCCUCCCGGCGAUACAUUUUCAGUGGCUAAUCGAAACCACUAAGUUAUCCACCUGGGGAGCUCGACCUCUAGGUUG